UCUCCCACUCCCCACUCAGGCCUGGGGACAGAUCUGAGCAUGACCACCCAAUCGGGUGACCUGCCCUCCAAAGAUCGGGACCAGGACCGGGGCCGGCCCAAGGACCGGAAGCAUCGGCCACACCACCACCACCACCAUCAUCACCAUCAUCCCCCGGCCCCGGACCGGGAGCGCUACGCACAGGAGCGGCCGGACACCGGCCGGGCGCGGGCCCGGGAGCAGCGCUGGUCCCGCUCGCCCAGCGAGGGUCGGGAGCACGCGACACACAGACAGGGCAGUAGUUCCGUCAGUGGAAGCCCAGCCCCCUCUACGUCCGGCACCAGCACGCCGCGGCGCGGCCG
rnacentral:lncRNA from 1 species